AGAAAUGGCCUAAAUAUCCAAAAGGCACCCUAUCCCAUCUGAUUGUGAAAGCUAAGGAGGGUCCGUUCUGGUUAGUUCUUGGAUGAAAGACCACCAAAGAACACCAGGUGCUGUUGGCC
rnacentral:rRNA from 11 species